AGCCUCAGCGUGUGCCUUCAAAGUUCACCACCGUCCACCAUAGCCUUUCUUCUCCAAAAACCCAAAAUCCUAAACCCAAGAAUUCAACAGUGAUGUCGAACCCUCUCAAUCCAGACGCCUCUGUUCUUGCAAGCCUAAUGGAAUCUCACUUCAAGGAACUCGAUCUGAUCCCAGAACAGUUUCUCCAGAAGAAAGAAGAAAUGGUUCCCAUACUGGAAAACUGCUUGUCACACUCUUGCCUUGAAGAGGGUCUUCCAGAACAAAUUGCUGUGGAUAAAAGCAAUUCAGCCCAUCGGAUUAAACCCGGUCCGGUCGACUCUGCUUUCAUCAAGGACUGCGUGGCGCCGGUUCUGGUGGCCAGCAACAAACGCUUCAUCAAAAUUAUGCAUUGCUCCCUUGUCCAAGCUGGCAAGGAGAAAGAAGCUCAAGAGUACCUCGAAAAGGUGAGCCCUGCAUCCCGGGUCAAGCAUCAAGAUGUGGAAUUACCUUACUCUGCCAUUCCAGGUGCUCAAGGUAAUGGAGGAUAUGGGAUUAGGCACAAAUCCUGCCAGUUUCUUCAUGCCUCCAGCACCACAUGAGGUUUUUCCCACUCCGGCACCGGGUUGGAGGCCCAGCCAGGCUAUGGCCGACGGAUGAGGCUGGCGUUGUGCCUGAGACCGAGUUAGUUCUUCACGUUGGUGAGGUUACAGACCGGUCUAUGAUGGAUGCUGCAGCUGAACACAAGCAGAAGAAGGGGGUGAUGGAAGUGGAGGUCUCUGACACAGACUAAGCAUCACCCAGUUAUAUUUUUUUCUUUCUUUUUACUUUGAAGAGUACAAUCGUCCUUGCGGCCUUAGAAUGAUUCGAUAUAUACUUGGAGUAUGUAUUAGGAG